rnacentral:lncRNA from 1 species
UUGUAGAAAAUAAGGAUAAAAAAUACGAUAACUAUUCUUCGCACUUUUUCUCUUCUGUCACAUCCGUACUGGAGCGACCACAUUGCAGCGUGUUGCAUAACAGGAUUACGUUUCUUCUCUCAUUCAAAUAUUCUUUUUAGUAUUUUACUUUUUUUAGUAAUUUUUUUAUUUUAUUCUUUUUAUUUUCAAAUUCUAUUUUUCGUCCUUUAAACGUUUCAAACCAAUCAAUUUUAUUCGGUCUUCAUCAAACUCCUUAAUGAUUUUCCACGAACAUGUAAGAAUGAACUCUUUUGGAUAUC